rnacentral:rRNA from 2 species
GACUAUACAAGCAGUCGAACGAACUCCUGGUAUUGAUUGGUGCUUGCAUCAUGAUUUACAUUUGAGUGAGUGGCGAACUGGUGAGUAACACGUGGGAAACCUGCCCAGAAGCGGGGGAUAACACCUGGAAACAGAUGCUAAUACCGCAUAACAACUUGGACCGCAUGGUCCGAGUUUGAAAGAUGGCUUCGGCUAUCACUUUUGGAUGGUCCCGCGGCGUAUUAGCUAGAUGGUGGGGUAACGGCUCACCAUGGCAAUGAUACGUAGCCGACCUGAGAGGGUAAUCGGCCACAUUGGGACUGAGACACGGCCCAAACUCCUACGGGAGGCAGCAGUAGGGAAUCUUCCACAAUGGACGAAAGUCUGAUGGAGCAACGCCGCGUGAGUGAAGAAGGGUUUCGGCUCGUAAAACUCUGUUGUUAAAGAAGAACAUAUCUGAGAGUAACUGUUCAGGUAUUGACGGUAUUUAACCAGAAAGCCACGGCUAACUACGUGCCAGCAGCCGCGGUAAUACGUAGGUGGCAAGCGUUGUCCGGAUUUAUUGGGCGUAAAGCGAGCGCAGGCGGUUUUUUAAGUCUGAUGUGAAAGCCUUCGGCUCAACCGAAGAAGUGCAUCGGAAACUGGGAAACUUGAGUGCAGAAGAGGACAGUGGAACUCCAUGUGUAGCGGUGAAAUGCGUAGAUAUAUGGAAGAACACCAGUGGCGAAGGCGGCUGUCUGGUCUGUAACUGACGCUGAUGCUCGCAAGUAUGGGUAGCAAACACGAUUAGAUACCCUGGUAGUCCAUACCGUAAACGAUGAAUGCUAGUGUUGGGAGGGUUUGCGGGCUUCACUGCUGCAGCUAACGCAAUAAGCAUUCCGCCUGGGGAGUACUGCCGCGAGGCUGAGACUCAAAGGUAUUGACAGGUGCCUGCACAGCCUGGAGCAUGUUG